UCCCUGGAGGAAUAGUGGUUAGGCCUAAGCAGUCUCAAUGCCAGGACCUGGGUUCGAUUCCCGGCCAGGGAA